rnacentral:rRNA from 1 species
AUUGAACGCUGGCGGCAUGGCUAAAGCAUGCAAGUCGAACGGACCCGCAAGGGUCAGUGGCGAAAGGGUCAGUAAUACGAUCGAACGUACCCUGAGGUGUGGGAUAGCCGCGGGAAACUGCGGGUAAUACCACAUGUGCUCUACGGAGGAAGGCUUCCCUUCACGGGGUGGCGCCUCGGGAGCGGCGAUCGUCCUAUCAGGUAGUUGGCGGGGUAACGG